rnacentral:rRNA from 3 species
UACACACCGCCCGUCACACCAUGGGAGUGGGUUGCAAAAGAAGUAGGUAGCUUAACCUUCGGGAGGGCGCUUACCACUUUGUGAUUCAUGACUGGGGUGAAGUCGUAACAAGGUAACCGUAGGGGAACCUGCGGUUGGAUCACCUCCUUACCUUAAAGAA